rnacentral:lncRNA from 1 species
CAUUUUGCUGCACACACAUACAUUGCUACUUCUUAAUCAUAUGAAGUCAGGUAUCCCCUGAAAAAGUCCCACAACAAUUGGGCAUUAGUUUGGAUUAGGUUAACACUCCUUCCUUCUUUGGCUUCCUUGACAUUCUUACUAUCAACCUUGGGGAACAUACUUAGGUUUUAUUGUGUGUUCUGCCAACUAAGAGACAUCUCUGCCUAUUAUCCUUAGGUUUGGUUGCCAAGAAGGUUAAAUUCAAGAAGUGGGAACGGUGCCCACAAUAUGCCUUUUAUUAGAAAUCAGGUUCAAAUCAGUUUCAAUUAUUUUGAUUAUUAUACUUUGUGUAAUAAGUGAGGUUGUGCUGAGGGAAUGAUGUAAAGUCUAAGCACUUAAACUGUGUGCACGAACUAAAAAAAUUCUGUAUCCAUUUGCCAGAGACCAAGUUUGCAUUUCACUUCCAAAACAUGCACACAUGCCACCUAUCAUAGGAUGAGAAACUUGUACUUGGCUGCUAAUUAUGCCCCCAAAAAAUCAAAUUUUCAGGGAAUUGACCUAAAAAAUACAACCAUGAAAAAAUACUCGAAAUUCUGAGUACUAGAACAGGAUUCAUCUAAUAUUAAGUUCUUUUGUUUUCAUAUUGAACUAAAAAAUCACGUCGAAUACUUGAAUAGUACAAAUGGUAUACUAUUUUACACUUAAUUUUUUUUUGUUGGCUUUUUUAAUGUCAAUAGUUUUCUUUAAAAAAAAUAUUUUAGUUGACAAUGGACCUUUAUUUUUUUAUUUACUUUUUUUAGUUAUAGUUGGACACAAUACCUGAUUUUAUUUAUUUUUAUGUGGUGCUGAGGAUCGAACCCAGGGCCUCCCGUGUGCUAGAUGAGCACUCUACCGCUGAACCACAACCCCAGCCCUACACUUAAAAAUUUAAAGUGUUUAGAAUAACAUGAUGGGGGGAAUAGAAAAAAGGACUGGGUAAUUUGUAGAAGACAGAGAUUAAAACAGUGGAGUAUGGGAGAAAGGGAAUCACAGUACUAUCACUUUCUCCUUACCUGAAUACUUUGGAUAGAGGGUAGCUUUUCCCCUGGAAGGACAAUUUCGUAUAUUUUUAGAUGUUUUUCCAGAAGUAAGGGUAUGUUUGGGGAGUCUAAGUGCAUUAUCUCUUGCAAAAGGUUAGUCCAGCCACCUUAGAGAAUAAAGUACUUGCCCACAGGAAUUAAAUUCUUCUUUGAUGCCAAUUGACAAAUGACAUGAAAAAUUUGUUUUGGUCUAUAGAUCAUUCUGACAUGACGCUCUUAAAAGAUUCAUAGAUUAAAAAUGUUGUUCACUGCUACAGUUAAUAUUCAGAAAAUCUCAGACCACACUUGACUUUAUUGCCAUGGGAGUAUUUUAAGAUGGCUGGAAAUGACACUCUCUUGAAAAAUAACUGUUCUUAACUAUUGCAGUAUUGUAGUCAAAUCUUGAAAUAUUGUAUAAUUGAUCUUUUUCUUUUCUUUUUUUUUUGGAACUUAGGAUUGUACUUGGGGCACUUGGCCACAUCCCUCGCCUUAUUUUGUAUUUUAUUUAGAGACAGGAUCUCACUGAGUUGCUUAGCGCCUCGCUUUUGCUGAGGUUGGCUUUGAACUCCUCCUGCCUCAACCUCCUAAGCCACUGGGAUUAUAGGCGUGCACCAUUGCACCUGGCUAUUAUAUGUUCUUUCCAAAAUAAUUUGAGGAAGCUCUGUGGUAGCCACUGUUGAUAUAGAGAUCUGUGUGUCACUUUAUGUCUGCUUAACUCAAUAUUCUCAUCUUUGGGCUGGGAUUGUGGCUCAGAGGUAGAGUGCUCACCUAGCUUGCACAAGGCACUGGGUUCGAUCCUCAGCACUAUGUAAAUGUAAAAUAAAGAUAUUGUGUUCACCUAAAACUUAAG